AACGUAGGAGGCGAGCGUUAUCCGGAUUUACUGGGCGUAAAGCGCGUGUAGGCGGCUCGGCAAGUUGGAUGUGAAAGCUCCUGGCUUAACUGGGAGAGGUCGUUCAAAACUACCGGGCUUGAGGAUGUGAGAGGGAAGUGGAAUUCCGGGUGUAGUGGUGAAAUGCGUAGAUAUCCGGAGGAACACCAGUGGCGAAAGCGGCUUCCUGGCACAUAUCUGACGCUCAAACGCGAAAGCUAGGGUAGCAAACGGG
rnacentral:rRNA from 1 species